rnacentral:tRNA from 1 species
GGGCGAUUAGUUUAGUGGUAGAACAGCGGUCUCCAAAACCGCUAGCGGGGGUUCGAUUCCCUCAUCGCCCG